AAAUUAAUUUCUAAAGCCUUCUGUCUCUGUGUGUGCAUGUCUUCAGCAGCCAACACGAAGACCUUUGCAAGGCAGGAGCUGUUGGAGCAAAGCCAGAGAGCUAUGGUUGUGCACGUCUGAACGGGACAGGCUGUUGGAGAUUCUGCCAGAGAAAGGAAGUCUUUGCAGAGACAGGGCUCCUUGAAGACCAUUUGGUGUGUCAUCUAAAUGUGAGGACGGCCAAGCGGACUGUUGCACCGUGUUGAAGUGAAAAUAAAGAAGAUGCUAAUAUUC